rnacentral:antisense_RNA from 24 species
CUUCAGCGAACCCAGCCACAGCGGCCGCUCGCGGUCCUGGCCGUAGGUGGCCAGCAGCGCCUGCGCCUC